AUGUUUACUCACCGGUCCAGAGCCUGUUAACACAGCACACUUAAUUUCACUCCCUCAUACCUCAUGAAAUCACCACUUAUACUCUGUGAAAUAGAUGUUUUAAAUGGUUAUAUGAUGAUUAUAAUUAAAUGACGGAUUGGUGGUAACACAAAUGCAUUGGUUUUAAUAAAACAAAGUUAAACGUCAUUUCGAAGUCUAUGUCCAUGGUCCUCCAAGAAAGAGGAUAGUCUACUCUUCUAUUCAUCGAAGUCGGAUGGAGAGUGAGGUAGUGAAGCAAAGAUUACAGCUAACACCUGAAUGUGCGAGCAUUCACUACAGCAUUAAAAGUUGGAGCAUGAAACACGUGAAGAACAGAUGGAGAGGGAAUUAGAUCACUAGAAAGCAGCAUGCAGACAGACCAGGGCCCGUAUUUACAAAGCAUAUCAACAGUCGUUUCACCACAGGACCCUUGAGGUCACUGCAUGCUGUGACAGACCUGGAUGGUGACACACAUCUUCUUCAAGCUGCCUGACUGAAUACUGGGGCCUUCAGUAGUACCGGAAGCAAG
rnacentral:lncRNA from 1 species